GCACGUGCUCCGGGGUCGGUGAAAUUCCGAGCCGGCGGUGACAGUCCGCGACCCGGUACCAGCAGCAUCGGUACCGGCUGACCUGGUGGAACUCCGGGACCGACGGUGAAAGUCCGGAUGGGAGGCAGCACGUGG
rnacentral:ncRNA from 2 species